GUUACUUCGGUACAUCGGUGACAGGUGGUGCAUGGUUGUCGUCAGCUCGUGUCGUGAGAUGUUGGGUUAAGUCCCGCAACGAGCGCAACCCCUAUUGUUAGUUGCCAUCAUUCAGUUGGGCACUCUAGCGAGACUGCCGGUAAUAACCGGAGGAAGUGGGGAUGACGUCAAAUCAUCAUGCCCCUUAUGACCUGGGCUACACACGUGCUACAAUGGUUGGUACAACGAGUUGCGAGUCGGUGACGGCGAGCUAAUCUCUUAAAGCCAAUCUCAGUUCGGAUUGUAGGCUGCAACUCGCCUACAUGAAGUCGGAAUCGCUAGUAAUCGCGGAUCAGCACGCCGCGGUGAAUACGUUCCCGGGCCUU
rnacentral:rRNA from 1 species